rnacentral:rRNA from 1 species
CUUUUCCCCUUUUCAUCCUCACGCGACACUGCUAGAGAAGAGGCCAUCGAUCCCAUGGCGAGCACCACCAACCAAGGAACCAGAAGUGGCUGCCGCCGCCGACCUUAUAAUGCUACUCUGCCCCAACACCACCCUUGUUGCAAACAUAGGGCGAAGCAGCCACCCUACUGUCAUAACUCAAGAGUCGUAGCCGCCAUUGAUGCAAGCAAGCGAAGGUCGACACCGACAAUGCUACGACGCGGUUGCGGCAAGGUCGGGGGGAGGGCAUCUCUGGCCAGCACGGCUGUAAGGUUCCCGCUCGCCACUCUCACUCCAUGCUGCAAUCCAUGUGUUUUGCAGCAGCACCAUUGCUGUGACGGGCCAUCUCCCUCAACUCCGGCCGUCGUCACCGGCGGUGCUGCGUUGCAACACGACCAGCUACUAGUGGAAGAGGCUGCGGUGUCGCGGCCGCUGCAUCGCAGCUCUGGCGGCGUUGACGAGCACUGCAUGUCAGCUUCGCAGCGUCAUGGCCGCUGCAUCGCAACUCCGGCGGCGUCAGCAACCGCUGCAUCGCAGCUCCGGCGGUCGACGACCGCUGCAUCGCACCUCCGGUGGCGUCGGCGACCGCUGCAUCGCAGCUCCGGCGGCGUCGGCGACCGCUGCAUCGCAGCUCUGCGUCAUCAUGGCCGCUGCAUCGCAGCUCCGGUGGCAUCGGCGUCCGCUUCAUCGUAGCUCCGGCGGCUGCUGCAUCACAACUCCGGCGCCUACAAGGCCGCUGCUGCCGUGCUGGGCAUGCUUGGAGCGGACAGUGGGCGUUGUACCUGCGGAGAAGUGCAAUCCACGGGAGACCAAACGAACGGCUACGAUGUUCACAAUCAGACGGUUGUCAAGGCGGCUGAUAACUGCGAGUUAUCAGCCGGCUUACGCCUAGCAUCGGCCUUCUUCCAUUUGCUUCUGUAUAAGGGCAUGUCCAGCGGGGUGCACCGGUAGCACCACAAGUGCGGGUGCACCGGAUACAUUCCCCGCUUGUAAGAGGCGCUAGGAUCAAAUUCCCAGCCGUUGUGCCAGCAUGGAUCAAAUUCCCAGCCGUUGUGCCGCCAGUGAAAAUAAAAAAAUCUGCAGCUGUGGCAGCAUUUUGGCUGCCUUGGCUGUGUUUUGCAUGAAACUAAGAUACAUAUUGCAGUAUAUAUAUACGUUAACCACUAUAUAAUUGUUAUGAAGCAACAA